GCCUGGGUGGCACAGCGGUUGAGCGUCUGCCUUUGGCUCAGGGCGUGAUCCCAGCGUUGUGGGAUCGAGCCCCACAUCAGGCU
rfam:Ailuropoda melanoleuca scaffold37_6, whole genome shotgun sequence.